CAGUCGCCACGGUAAUACGGAGGGGGCUAGCGUUGUUCGGAAUUACUGGGCGUAAAGCGCACGUAGGCGGCUUGGUAAGUUAGAGGUGAAAGCCUGGAGCUCAACUCCAGAAUUGCCUUUAAGACUGCCGAGCUAGCAGGUGAGAGAGGUAAGUGGAAUUCCGAGUGUAGAGGUGAAAUUCGUAGAUAUUCGGAAGAACACCAGUGGCGAAGGCGGCUUACUGGCUCAUACUGGACGCUGAGGUGCGAAAGCGUGGGGAGCAAACAGGAUUAGAUACCCGCGUAGUCCCUGUCUCUUAUAC
rnacentral:rRNA from 1 species